rnacentral:rRNA from 1 species
UACGUAGGGUCCGAGCGUUGUCCGGAAUUACUGGGCGUAAAGAGCUCGUAGGUGGUUUGUCGCGUUGUUCGUGAAAACUCACAGCUCAACUGUGGGCGUGCGGGCGAUACGGGCAGACUGGAGUACUGCAGGGGAGACUGGAAUUCCUGGUGUAGCGGUGGAAUGCGCAGAUAUCAGGAGGAACACCCGUGGCGAAGGCGGCUCUCUGGGACGGUACUGACGCUGAGACGCGAAAGCGUGGGGAGCGAACAGG